rnacentral:rRNA from 1 species
UACGGGGGGAGCAAGCGUUGUUCGGAUUUACUGGGCGUAAAGGGCGCGUAGGCGGUCACUACAAGUCAGUUGUGAAAUCUCUGGGCUUAACUCAGAACGGUCAACUGAUACUGUCGGACUAGAGUGCAGAAGGGGCAACUGGAAUUCUCGGUGUAGCGGUGAAAUGCGUAGAUAUCGUGAGGAAGACCAGUGGCGAAGGCGGGUCUCUGGACAGUUCCUGACACUGAGGCACGAAGGCCAGGGGAGCAAACGGG